AAAGAAGGACGAGUGAUCGCUGAUAUUUAUAUCAGAGGAAAGUCCGAGCACCGCUAGGAAAAGUGCCUGCUAACAGCAGGGCAAGGCGACUUGACGGAAAGUGCAACAGAAAAUAUACCGCCAAUUUUUGGUAAGGUUGAAAUGGUGAGGUAAGAGCUCACCACUUAUUUUGGUAACAAAUAAGGUAUGGUAAACCCCACUUGGUGCAAGGCUAAAUAGAGGAGCUUAGUUUCCUAGACUGCUCCCGGGUAAGCUGCAUGAGCUAAUUGGUGACAAUUAGCCAAGAUGGAUGAUCACAUAUACUUUUAAAAAGUAGAACAGAACUCGGCUUAUAGUCCUUCUUUACCU
rnacentral:RNase_P_RNA from 3 species